CAUACUUCCUCUUACACAUUUUUAAACUGGAUAUGAAUAACCCAGUGACCUCAAAAGAUGUUUAUACAUCAACAUGCUAUAUGGAUUUUCGUGGUGAAGUGAUAGCAUAAGAAUUGUGUGGAUCUGCUCUAGUAUUUCAACCAAUGUUUUUUGCUGUAGCAAGCUCUAUCCAUGAGAAAGAUUUAUGACAGUUCUGUCAUGAGUAUCUGUUGAUGACCGAGAUGAAAUACUUUCUCCACUGCCCGUAAGAUCAUCUUGACCAGUCAGUUCUGGACAUUUUUCAGGAGAAGAACCAUCACUCCUGGAUUAGAUAUUUGAGUCAGUUUACUAUGGCUAUGAUGUUGAGACAGCAGGAACAAG
rnacentral:lncRNA from 1 species